GAUGAAGAACGUAGCGAAAUGCGAUAAGUAAUGUGAAUUGCAGAAUCCAGUGAAUCAUCGAAUCUUUGAACGCACAUUGCGCCCGCCAGCAUUCUGGCGGGCAUGUCUGUUCGAGCGUCAUUUCAACCCUCGACCUCCCUUUGGGGAAGUCGGCGUUGGGGACCGGCAGCACACCGCCGGCCCUGAAAUGGAGUGGCGGCCCGUCCGCGGCGACCUCUGCGUAGUAAACCAACUCGCACCGGAACCCCGACGUGGCCACGCCGUAAAACACCCAACUUCUGAACGUUGACCUCGAAUCAGGUAGGACUACCCGCUGAACUUAAGCAUAUCAAUAAGCGGAGGA
rnacentral:misc_RNA from 1 species